GACGAACGCUGGCGGCGUGCUUAACACAUGCCAGUCGAACGGAAAGGCCCUGCUUUUGUGGGGUGCUCGAGUGGCGAACGGGUGAGUAACACGUGAGUAACCUGCCCUUGACUUUGGGAUAACUUCAGGAAACUGGGGCUAAUACCGGAUAGGAGCCCCUGCUGCAUGGUGGGGGUUGGAAAGUUUCGGCGGUUGGGGAUGGACUCGCGGCUUAUCAGCUUGUUGGUGGGGUAGUGGCUUACCAAGGCUUUGACGGGUAGCCGGCCUGAGAGGGUGACCGGCCACAUUGGGACUGAGAUACGGCCCAGACGCCUACGGGAGGCAGCAGUGGGGAAUAUUGCACAAUGGGCGGAAGCCUGAUGCAGCAACGCCGUGUGCGGGAUGACGGCCUUCGGGUUGUAAACCGCUUUCGCCUGUGACGAAGCGUGAGUGACGGUAAUGGGUAAAGAAGCACCGGCUAACUACGUG
rnacentral:rRNA from 1 species